UAAUUUCAAUUCAGCUCAAUUGGCGUCUUAAUUGAACGGGAAAAAGUGAAAGGCACAAGAAGCGACCCAUGUAGUCAGAAAAGCCAGGCAUUCCAAAGUCAAUGUCUGGGUCUAGAAGGUAGCUGCAGUUUAUUAUUUACAGAGGCCAAACAAACUACACUGCACUAUUUGUUUUGCUAAACGAAUCGUUGAAGUUUUUCGACAUUUGUGGAAGAACUAUGCACAGUGAGUCACACAGAUCGUUUACUUCAGAAAUCGAAAUCAAGACGAAUGUAAUCAAAGAAUCCGCUUUGUUCCCUCCAGUCCGAGUCAUAUUCGAGUGGGUAGUCCAACCUGAUUCUCAACUUUCGCCGAUGUGCCCUUAAGAAGCUGGCCAGCGAAUUUUGGUGCAUCGGCCAGAACCGUGAAUCAUGCUGCCGCAGUUCCAGAGCGUAUUUUAUUAUCUUUCCCGAGGCGAAGCAAGCUAGCCUUGAUAUCUCUGGUCUGAUAACGAUCGGCAUGAAUAGGCACUUAAGAGUUGGUAAUGUGGCGAGAGCUGGAAAAUAGGAAGUGCGCACUGAGGAAUGGGCGGAAAAACAAGCUCAGAGCGGUUUCACUUUCCGGCUUUUCCCCCCAAACUUAUGCAUAUUUAUUUUUCUUCUUUUUUAUUGGAUUUUGCUGCUCAGCUUGCCCCUGGCAAACCGGAAUUCGGCGUUCAUCACGAGAUUAGAGGCGAGUCGAAAAAACGCGGGUACGAAAUCGAAAUCGAAAUGUAGAGGAAAAAAACCAGGCCGCGAACCCGAGAACAAACAUCACUUGGGGCGGAGAUGGGCUCCCAGAUGGAUUGCUGGCCAUUUUCGCACUUGGCGGCUGCGCAUGCGCAGCAGAGGAAGUGGGAAGCCACUUAAGCAGCACACAGGCACACUCACACACGAGCGGAGAAACCCUCGGGUGACAUAAAAACAAGUACAUUCACUGUGCUCCCUGGUAAGUAGCUGCACAUAGGGCACAUAUGUGGAACCGUCAACGUGCCCA